rnacentral:rRNA from 1 species
ACCUACGGGAGGCAGCAGUCGGGAAUAUUGCGCAACGGAGGAAACUCUGACGCAGUGACGCCGCGUAUAGGAAGAAGGUUUUCGGAUUGUAAACUAUUGUCGUUAGGGGAGAUACAAGACAGUACCUAAGGAGGAAGCCCCGGCUAACUAUGUGCCAGCAGCCGCGGUAAUACAUAGGGGGCAAGCGUUAUCCGGAUUUAUUGGGUGUAAAGGGAGCGUAGACGGCGGUGCAAGUCUGGAGUGAAAGGCGGGGGCUCAACCCCCGGACUGCUCUGGAAACUGUACGGCUGGAGUGCAGGAGAGGG